rnacentral:lncRNA from 1 species
AGUGCUCCUGCUGACCUUCCGUGUCUGCAGCCCGGCUUUGGACUGUGGAGAUGCCCUCAGCCUCUACUCAGUGGCUCCAGCCUCAUAUUUGCGUGCUAUACCUUUAACCUCAAGUCCUCUUGCUGCUAACUUAAGCUGCGACUGUCCAGGACCUGCACACACACACACAUGCACGCAUGCACACACACACACACAGAAGCCCUGACUGCCGAAACCCUCCAGCCCCAGCUCCAGCCCCUCAGGAGGGGACUGCGUGGGAGGAAUGACUCCAGCAAGCCGGCAGCUGACCCGUCUCCUGCCUGCACGCCUCCCGCUGUGGUCCACUGCCGGUGGUCUUCAGCUCUCUCCUCGUCCCACCCCCAUGGUCUGCUGACAGCCCAGCUCAGUGCAUCCCUGCCAUCUCUGCUCUACCGCUGGUCCUCCCAACAACCAACUUACAGGUUUGGGGGCACACGUGAAGGUUUGACAUAUAGUAAACACAUGUCAUGGUGGUUUGUUGUACAGAUUAUUACAUCACCCAGGGUUUCACUCCCGUCACCCAGACUGGAGUACAAUGGUGCGAUCUCAGCUCACUGCAACCUCUGCCUCCUGGGCUUAAGCGAUUCUCCUGCCUUGGCCUCCCAAGUAGCUGGGAUUACAGGUGCCUGCCACCACUCCUGGCUAAUUUUUGUAUUUUUUGUAAAGGCGGAGUUUCUCCAUGUUGCCCAGGCUAGUCUCAAACUCCUGAGCUCAAGCAAUCCACCCGCCUCGGCCUCCCAAAUAAGUGGAAUUAUAGGUGUGAGCCACCACGCCGGCCCUGAUGUAUCAAUAUUAAAACAUUUUCUUCAGCCU